ACCUUAUACAGGCCCAUGCCUAAUACACCUUGCCAAAACUUUUUUCCACAGAUAACGUCAUUAAAAACAUAAUUUAAUGUAGGAGACUUUCUAAUAUUUUUUUACCAGACAACGAAACAGAGUGGCAGCUUUCAUUUCUGCACUGAUAGUUGUAAAACCAUGGAAAAUAUAAUUUUAGAUGAGUUUAAAUCUGUCUUAAUGCUUCAACAACAAGAGUCAGUAGAAAUUAGUAGACAGAGAGCGAGUGAUCUUUUGUGUCUGCUCAUACACAUUUGACCACAUAAGAGUCUACACUACAAAAGUAGUCUGGUAUUAGACGAGCACAAGAUCUUUCAGACCAAGUAUAAACCUGUAUUCAGCAUCAUCGAACAAAAAAGAUGCAUAUUAAUGCUGUGGGGAACCAGGUCCACAGAGACAACAACAAAAAUGGAUUAAACGCUGCCUAGAUUAAAUAUUAAUGAUGAUAUUUAAUAAACUUCACUUUCUCAGGAAUAGAAACACUACCUGGAAAAUCAGAGCCACAAAUAAAUGAAAACCAUCCAUGCAACCUCUAAAACAAAUUCAAAUUAAACGUUCAAAAUGCCUUUUUUCCCCUCACGAUGAAAAAAAAAAAAGUUCUUCAUAUUCGAUCGCUAAUUUAAACCUGUGUGAAAUUACAAAUGCUCUAUCAUUAAAACAUUUUUUUUUACGUUUAUAAUGAAAUGACAGAUUUCCGCAUGCUUGAAAUGAUAGGGCGCAUUUUCGCCUUCCCUUUAAUCACGGGUCACUGGUCAGAAAAUAUAUUCUCGCUCUUGCUUCCCUCUAAGCAGGUGAACCGAGCUCAAGACUUUCCCACGAUCCCUCAGUAAAUCUGUCUUUGCUCUGCCCCUUUCCUCUGUCCCAGCCAUCUGUCUGUUUUUCAGAGCGCGUCUGCUGGAGCGAAUGUCAGCUGCGGGGACAAGUCCAGCAUUCCCAAACACAUCUCACCACAACAUUUAGCCACAAAUACAAAUAUUUUGCUCCACAAAUGAAGACUGCGUUACUAAAAAUGCUGGAAUGCUAAAUUCUUUCUCUCCGUCUUUCUUUAACAGAAACCUAUGGUUUUCCAGGCAGACCAAGACAGCGAAAUUGACAAAGCCAAUGCACGUAUCAUUAGAGUGCUGAAAGCAGCGCGCCUGGUGCCGCGGGUCUCCUCCUGCGCUGCCUUCCCUCCAAACGCAUGACAUUGGCUGGCUGAGAGCAUGAGAACGGAGCCUUUUCAAUAGCAGGAUCCUCAUACUUGGCCAGUAACCAUGGAAGCAGAUGCCUACUCACUUUGCCCUCCUUACCUCCUUGCUCCCUCAUUGAAAAGGAGGGCACGCCUCGCUUUCUUCUUCCUGACCGAACUUGCCUGGCCCUCAAAGGGAGCGAUUGAGCAGGUCACCGGUCUAGACUUGUUUGCAUGGUCCGUGGAGCAGUCUUGAGGUAACCCUUGCUCCCCGCCCGUCGCACCGGCACAGACUGCAGGGGGGGACCAUCGGAGAUGCGAAUUUGAAAAGGAGCCCUGUCCGAUUUUGCCUUUGUGCCUUUUCCCUCAUCGAUCGGCUGAAUAUCGAACCCUCUGUCUGUGCAUGUGUGAAACGGAUAGCUUAGUAAGCAUUUUUUCUAAUCAAGCUUGCGUUGUGGGCCAACUCUCUCGUUUUUCUCUCCCGCUCUCGAACCCUCCCUCUCUCCUCUCUCUUUUUUCUUCCUUUCUUUCUCCAUUUCUCUCUCACUUUCUGCGUUUUGGCACUUUCUGUGUUUUGAUUAUCUUGGACGUUUGGCAUGUUGCGAUGCUUCUGAUCAGUGUCUCUUUUUUUUAAUCUGUGGAUUUUGCAUGCUGCUUUCUCUGUUUGCUUUUCGAUUUCAACUGGGAUCAAAUAGAGGGACGUUUCAGACUAUUUAUACCAAAAACUGGCUGCUGCUUUGCUUUUAAUUCAUCAUGUUUUUUUCUUAAAAACUAAAAAAAAUGUAACAAUUUUUAUGUGAAAAUACUGGUGUGUCUCAUAAGGUGAGUAUAAUUACGUUCUUAUGUAUUAGAUCUGAAAUAAACAGUUAGUGUAAAAGAUUCAAUUAAAAAAGAAAAAUCAAAUCUCUUUUCUCCUGUUUCCUGAUAUAUGUGCUCUAACUGAAAUAUUUAUGUUGAGUUUUCUGACAUUAAAGCUGCAAGUCUUUGAACUUAAACAUGUCUUUUGGCACUGUGACGUGCUGCAAUUAUUGUGGGAUUAUUCGGCUUAAACUGUUCAUUUUGCGAGGAGAUUUGAGAUGUAAGAAGUAAUACAUUUUCACUUACAGUAUGUCAAACAACAUUGUAUUAGACUUCCUAAAUAUUAAUGCAAGAACAUUUAUUUCGAUUAGAUUUUUUAGGCUGUUUCUGAAGGAAGUGACUGUUACAAAAGAAAAAAAACAUUAAGUGAAACAUUUAAAAGAUUAUUAUUAAAUUAAUUGAAGAUAAUUAAUUUAUUUUAUGAUUAAUUUACUGUGAUGAACAUAUUUAUUUAUUAAAGCCACUAUAUAGAGAAAACAGCAUAUCAAUAUUGAUCAUUUUUUUUAUUGUUAGUGGCAUAGAAAUGAAUAGAAUUGUUAAAUUCUUGAAAAUAAUGAAAAUUUUUGCAAAUAUUAAAAUGAAUCAAAAUAUUAUUAUUAUGGUGCAAUAUUAUUUUAAAAGAAUAAGACUGUAUUAUUAGCCUUUGUUUAAGUUGUAAUGAAAUCUUAUAAAAAAAAAAACACCUUAAAAAGAGUUUAUAAGAAAUAUUAAAAAAAAACAUUUUUAAUGAAACAAAUUAGCAAUGAUAUAAUCUUGCUCCUUGGUUCCUAAGAUAUCACAUAUUCCCAAUAUAUUCUGUAAUAUUUGAACGUAUAUUCCAAUACACAAUACUUUAAAGGGCAAUAAAAUGUCAGUGAAAUUGCAUAAUAAAAAUAAAAAGCAUUUAAAUGAAAAACUAUGAUAUUCUUAAUUUUUAAAUCAUCACAUAUUUCCUAAAUAUUAAUUUAUUUGAAUUAUAGCAUUAUGGUCCAAGAAAUUUCAUACAAACUCUUUUAUUUAUCGUAUCAACGUUUUUAAUGUCCUUUCGCCCCUUUUUUCCUGCUCAAUUAAUUUUCGGUGAAGGAUUGAGAAUGCACCAGACUGGGUGUUUAAGGGUGCAGAAGUGGGGAUUUUUUUUGGAGAACUGUGAUUGGAUGGAGCCUCACGCAGUGAACCACACGCGCCAUGUCAGUAGCUGACAGUGAGGUCACAGAAAAUGGAAGCUCAAGGUCUGAGUUCAGUCUGGAAAUUACCCACUGUCUGAUUCCACUUACUGACUAUUGUCAUAAAAAUACAGGCCUUGUCCCAUUUAAAUGCACAAACAUUAAAAGUAAUUGGUCAUCUAUUUCCAGUCCGUGCAUUUUGAACAGCUGCUCAGAAGACAGAGCAUUUUUGUUCUCUAUUUUAAACACAUUUAUUUUGUGUUGUAAUUACGAGCCUUUUGAACAUAUAUUUCACUUAUUAUGUUCUUAAAUGUUUUACAUUAAAAACUCUUAAUCUUAUUCAAUUAAGGUUUCAAAAAUAUUUCGUUAAAAGUGAUGCAAUAAAUAGGCAAUUUUUGUUAUCUAAAUAGCCUUUCAUUUAAGAUCGUUUUGCUUUCCAUUUUUAAUAAUCAUUUUGAAAAUGUUAAAGGUUCUUUAUGGAACAACCAAUGCCAAUAAGGAAUCUUCAGUCCUCAGUCUUCUUACAGACCAAAUGUAUGAAUGCAUUCAAAUCAUCAAUCAGUUAUCUGUAGAAUUAAUGAUUUAAAAUAAUACAUUUAUUUUAUGAUUCAUUUACAGUGUCGGAAUGAGUUUAAUAUUAAAGUCAGUAUAUAUGGAAGUAUAUGAUUUAAAAUUGAUAUCUAUGGUAUUAUAAAAAACAUACUAAAUAGCAAUUUCAAAUAAAUAAUCAUUUGUGUUAAUGUAUUUUGUAUAUUAAUAAACAAUUUAUGACAACACAAAUACAGAUGUAUAAAUAUUUUCAAGCCAAAUCAACCAAAUCUACAUUUUAUUUUAAAUCUGCACUCAGAAUCUAUUAAAAAGUGUUUUUCUUUUUCUUUUAAAUAAAAAGGCACAAUUAUAUACUCAGUCAAAAUCAUUAUAAGACAACAUUUUGAUUAUUUAAAGUAGUCUUCUAUGCACGAAAAUAACAAAUUAACAAACUACAUAGAGAUAAACACUAGAUCUGCUCAUCAGUCAAUGUGAUCCAGCCAGCGAGCUUCACUAUAAUGCAAUUAUGUGACUUGUGGUAUGCAUUGAACAGCCCGGUUCAGAAGUGUUGUUAGCUAUGUAUAUGUCAGUGUUCUGACUUUGAGACAGCAGUUCAAUAUGUUCGUUCGCCUCACCCGAACGUGAGACUCACAAUAGACAAUAAGGCCAAGACCAGCUGUGAUUUUUCUGUUGAUCUCGCUCUAUGCAUUAUUUAUAGUCACAUCAGAAGAUUAGGCUGAAAGCUUGACCCUCGCGCAUGACAUUGUCUCCAGCCCAUUCACGUUCUGGUCAGUGCUAACAAAUGAUAACCGCAAAUGUCCACCAAUAAUCCCACUGCUUUGGCCUCAUGCCUUUUAAGAAUUGAGUUUUAAUCAGUCUGUUUAUUUCACACCGCUAUAUAUGUAUAUUGUUUUGAUAAUUAUUUUAAAUGGUGGAUUACAGUAUAUUAUGCUUAAGAUAAAAUAUCGAAUUAAAUGUAUUAAAAUUCAAAAAUGCUUUUUAGAAAUAAUAUAAAAAUAGAUUUGAUACUCUUAAAAUGACAAAGAAUAUAAUGCCAACAGUAGGUUGAGAGGAAAUAUUUUGUUUAAAACAAAUUACAAAACAAUAAUGUUAAUAAUAAUAUAAAAUUAAAAUAACAGCACUUUUCACCCUGUCAUGCAACAAUGAAAUAUUCAGCAUAUAGUAAUAGUUUUUAGUUGUUUGUUUUUAUUUCACUAUGCCACAUUUUCCUUGUUUUAAUUAAACAUGCACUGAAUAAAGUUCAGUUUGUAUCUCAUAA